UUUUAUAAGAAUAUGAUGUUGGUUCAGAUUAAGCGCUAAAUAAGGACAUGACACAUGCGAAUCAUACGUUUAUUAUUGAUAAGAUAAUAAAUAUGUGGUGUAAACGUGAGUAAUUUUAUUAGGAAUUAAUGAACUAUAGAAUAAGCUAAAUACUUAAUAUAUUAUUAUAUAAAAAUAAUUUAUAUAAUAAAAAGGAUAUAUAUAUAAUAUAUAUUUAUCUAUAGUCAAGCCAAUAAUGGUUUAGGUAGUAGGUUUAUUAAGAGUUAAACCUAGCCAACGAUCCAUAAUCGAUAAUGAAAGUUAGAACGAUCACGUUGACUCUGAAAUAUAGUCAAUAUCUAUAAGAUACAGCAGUGAGGAAUAUUGGACAAUGAUCGAAAGAUUGAUCCAGUUACUUAUUAGGAUGAUAUAUAAAAAUAUUUUAUUUUAUUUAUAAAUAUUAAAUAUUUAUAAUAAUAAUAAUAAUAAUAUAUAUAUAUAAAUUGAUUAAAAAUAAAAUCCAUAAAUAAUUAAAAUAAUGAUAUUAAUUACCAUAUAUAUUUUAUAUGGAUAUAUAUAUUAAUAAUAAUAUUAAUUUAUUAUUAUUAAUAAUAUAUUUUAAUAGUCCUGACUAAUAUUUGUGCCAGCAGUCGCGGUAACACAAAGAGGGCGAGCGUUAAUCAUAAUGGUUUAAAGGAUCCGUAGAAUGAAUUAUAUAUUAUAAUUUAGAGUUAAUAAAAUUAAUUAAAGAAUUAUAAUAGUAAAGAUGAAAUAAUAAUAAUAAUUAUAAGACUAAUAUAUGUGAAAAUAUUAAUUAAAUAUUAACUGACAUUGAGGGAUUAAAACUAGAGUAGCGAAACGGAUUCGAUACCCGUGUAGUUCUAGUAGUAAACUAUGAAUACAAUUAUUUAUAAUAUAUAUUAUAUAUAAAUAAUAAAUGAAAAUGAAAGUAUUCCACCUGAAGAGUACGUUAGCAAUAAUGAAACUCAAAACAAUAGACGGUUACAGACUUAAGCAGUGGAGCAUGUUAUUUAAUUCGAUAAUCCACGACUAACCUUACCAUAUUUUGAAUAUUAUAAUAAUUAUUAUAAUUAUUAUAUUACAGGCGUUACAUUGUUGUCUUUAGUUCGUGCUGCAAAGUUUUAGAUUAAGUUCAUAAACGAACAAAACUCCAUAUAUAUAAUUUUAAUUAUAUAUAAUUUUAUAUUAUUUAUUAAUAUAAAGAAAGGAAUUAAGACAAAUCAUAAUGAUCCUUAUAAUAUGGGUAAUAGACGUGCUAUAAUAAAAUGAUAAUAAAAUUAUAUAAAAUAUAUUUAAUUAUAUUUAAUUAAUAAUAUAAAACAUUUUAAUUUUUAAUAUAUUUUUUUAUUAUAUAUUAAUAUGAAUUAUAAUCUGAAAUUCGAUUAUAUGAAAAAAGAAUUGCUAGUAAUACGUAAAUUAGUAUGUUACGGUGAAUAUUCUAACUGUUUCGCACUAAUCACUCAUCACGCGUUGAAACAUAUUAUUAUCUUAUUAUUUAUAUAAUAUUUUUUAAUAAAUAUUAAUAAUUAUUAAUUUAUAUUUAUUUAUAUCAGAAAUAAUAUGAAUUAAUGCGAAGUUGAAAUACAGUUACCGUAGGGGAACCUGCGGUGGGCUUAUAAAUAUC
rnacentral:ncRNA from 1 species